UGGGGAAUAUUGCACAAUGGGCGCAAGCCUGAUGCAGCAACGCCGCGUGAGGGAUGACGGCCUUCGGGUUGUAAACCUCUUUUAGUAGGGAAGAAGCGAAAGUGACGGUACCUGCAGAAAAAGCACCGGCUAACUACGUGCCAGCAGCCGCGGUAAUACGUAGGGUGCGAGCGUUGUCCGGAAUUAUUGGGCGUAAAGAGCUCGUAGGCGGUCUGUCGCGUCUGCUGUGAAAACCCGAGGCUCAACCUCGGGCCUGCAGUGGGUACGGGCAGACUAGAGUGCGGUAGGGAGAAUGGAAUUCCUGGUGUAGCGGUGGAAUGCGCAGAUAUCAGGAGGAACACCGAUGGCGAAGGCAGUUCUCUGGGCCGUAACUGACGCUGAGGAGCGAAAGCGUGGGGAGCGAACAGGAUUAGAUACCCUGGUAGUCCACGCCGUAAACGUUGGGCGCUAGAUGUGGGGACCAUUCCACGGUUUCCGUGUCGCAGCUAACGCAUUAAGCGCCCCGCCUGGGGAGUACGGCCGCAAGGCU
rnacentral:rRNA from 1 species